UACGUAGGGGGCAAGCGUUGUCCGGAUUUAUUGGGCGUAAAGAGCGUGUAGGCGGCCAGGUAGGUCCGUUGUGAAAACUCGAGGCUCAACCUCGAGACGUCGGCGGAAACCCUCUGGCUAGAGUCCGGAAGAGGAGAGUGGAAUUCCUGGUGUAGCGGUGAAAUGCGUAGAUAUCGGGAGGAACACCUGUGGCGAAAGCGGCGCACUGGACCACAUCUGACGCUGAGGCGCGAAAGCUAGGGGAGCAAACAGG
rnacentral:rRNA from 1 species